AUGAUGGCCGGAAGCCUCCGUUUCCUCCUCCUGUCACUCUGUGUUUUGUUGGAACCUGUGACAGAAAUCGGUGGUUUGCUUCUGAAACCAGUUCUGUCUGGACCCAGUGAGGCCUAUGUGAGAUCUGAAGUCCAGUUUGACUGUGCAGUUCCAGGCUGGUCUUCACCUCUGACCUAUGAACUCUAUAAGGAUGCAGGGGACGUUAUCGCGGCAGAAAACAACGUCAAGGCCACCUUCACCCUGCAGGUCAAUGAGGAGUCAAAGGGCGAAUACUACUGCAGACUGACCACUGGAGGUCAAACCAGCAACUCCAUCCACUUCCAAGCAGUGAUUCCUGUGUUAGGAGUCCGUCUGAGCUCAGAUCCCGAUCCAGCGAUCCUCUAUGAAGGACAGAAGUUGGUCCUGCGCUGUCUGGUCAGGAAGGGGACGCAUCUGUCCUUCACAUGGUACCACAACAAACAGGAAGUGAACUCCUCAUCAGAGCUCCACCGGCUCUCUGGAGACUCUCUCACGAUGGACAGGGUGACUGAAAUGCAUGCUGGGAUAUACUCAUGCACCGCUCGAAACCAGAUGACCGUCAACCCCAGAUUCUCCAGCAGCCAAAGCCUCCACGUCACUGUCAGAAAGCACAUCUCGGUGCCCUCGUUAUCGUUUACGGUCUUCUCUAACGGCUCGGGCCUAACAGCCAACAUCAGCUGUCGAUCUGAGCGUGGAUCUCCGCCCGUGACGUUCAGACUGAUGUUGGACGGACUGGAGCUGAAUGUGAAGCGAGUGGAUUCACUAGAGGCCUGGUUCGUUCUGCGAUCUCUGUGGGUCUGGAUCUGGGAGUCGCUCAAUGUGAAGCACAAACAGAAACCCAGCAGCUGCUGUCGGAUCCAGAGCGUUUACUUGUAG
rnacentral:lncRNA from 1 species